rnacentral:rRNA from 1 species
AUUGAACGCUGGCGGCAUGCCUUACACAUGCAAGUCGAACGGCAGCACGGGAGCAAUCCUGGUGGCGAGUGGCGAACGGGUGAGUAUAUAUCGGAACGUGCCCAGUCGUGGGGGAUAACGCAGCGAAAGCUGUGCUAAUACCGCAUACGAUCUACGGAUGAAAGCGGGGGAUCGCAAGACCUCGCGCGAUUGGAGCGGCCGAAAUCGGAUUAGCUAGUUGGUGAGGUAAAGGCUCACCAAGGCGACGAUCUGUAGCUGGUCUGAGAGGACGACCAGCCACACUGGAACUGAGACACGGUCCAGACUCCUACGGGAGGCAGCAGUGGGGAAUUUUGGACAAUGGGCGAAAGCCUGAUCCAGCAAUGCCGCGUGCAGGAUGAAGGCCUUCGGGUUGUAAACUGCUUUUGUACGGAACGAAACGGUGAGCUCUAAUACAGUUUGCUAAUGACGGUACCGUAAGAAUAAGCACCGGCUAACUACGUGCCAGCCGCCGCAGUAA